rnacentral:rRNA from 1 species
ACCCAGGGUUAUUGCCUCAGUACGGCGAGUGAAGCGGCAAAAGCUCAAAUUUGAAAUCUAGCACCUUCGGUGUUCGAGUUGUAAUUUGAAGAUGGUAACCUUGGGUUUGGCUCUUGUCUAUGUUCCUUGGAACAGGACGUCAUAGAGGGUGAGAAUCCCGUCUGAUGAGAUGCCCAUUCCUAUGUAAGGUGCUAUCGAAGAGUCGAGUUGUUUGGGAAUGCAGCUCUAAGUGGGUGGUAAAUUCCAUCUAAAGCUAAAUAUUGGCGAGAGACCGAUAGCGAACAAGUACAGUGAUGGAAAGAUGAAAAGAACUUUGAAAAGAGAGUGAAAAAGUACGUGAAAUUGUUGAAAGGGAAGGGCAUUAGAUCAGACUUGGUGUUUUACGAUUAUCUUCUCUUCUUGAGUUGUGCACUCGUAUUUCACUGGGCCAGCAUCGAUUCGGAUGGCAAGAUAAUGGCAGUUGAAUGUGGCUUCACUUCGGUGGAGUGUUAUAGCUUCUGCUGAUAUUGCCUGUCUGGAUCGAGGGCUGCGUCUUUUGACUAGGAUGCUGGCGUAAUGAUCUAAUGCCGCCCGUCUGA